rnacentral:lncRNA from 1 species
GCAGGAGUCAAGUGGUGGUUCAGUGGGGACGGAAUGAUUAACAAAGGCGUCCGAAGAAAUCGUUGUUGGAAGGUGACCAAGGUGGAAAGAGACGUUGCUUUGGCCCUGCAAGUAAGAAGAGAGAGGGAAUAGCCUGAAGGAGUAACACUAAAUUUAAAAUGACACUUUUUUACCAACCAGCGAAAGCAGAUGUUCAAAGGGGAUAUUGGCCAGAGUCUGUCACACUAAGAUGAGAAAUGUCCUUUCUUCCUGAAGGUGUCUGAUGUGUAAAAAUAUGAUAUACUUUGUGCUGUUUCCUCCCUUCCCUUUUGCAUAUUAUUCUGAAACAACAUUAACUAGUUACUUUGCGUCAUUGAAGAACUCACUUUGAG